AUGAUCCAAAUGUGUGUCUCUUUUUGUUUUUGGCUGUUGUGAGAAGAAUCAUGGAAAAGUCCGUGGAGUCCUUUGAAAAUCCAUUAAAUUGUCUUACUUAAGAAGCCUUUUGGAUAAUCUGGAGGAGCAAGAGGUACGAUCGAAGUCGGCAGAUUACAGGAAAGGAAGAAAAACACAGGGAAGAUGCUAUAAGAAACAAAAGAAUCCGAUCUAAACUCCAACAGCGCCUGAAGAAUCUAGCUACUAUUAACUGGACAGAGUAAAGAACACAGAAGGUGGCUGUAGUCCUAACCCCAGAAUGGACAUCGCCAGUGGUGUCUGACGCGCCAGAGGCAAAAAAGAAGAACUUGCGACACCAUCCAGCAAGAUGCAUUCCAACCACCUAAAGGUCUUCCACCCUGGUCAUUGAGAAUAUGAUUCAUGAUAUUCAGGGAUAGGAUGGAAUGUCUAAAACUACAUUCAAUUAUUUCCUGUAUUCACCCUGUUUAGGAAAAAACAACUACAUUUGUUGUUUCUGACACUAAGAUUAAAAAGAAAUUAAUGUCCUUCAUAUUAAAAAAAUGCCAACCGCUCCAUAAUAUUUAUUUGAACAAACUACUACUCCGACAAAAUUUCAAAUCCAUAGGGCCUGUGAUGACUCUCUCUCUCUCUCUGUCUGUCUGUCGUUUUGAAUACCCUUAAACCUGUCUUAGCAUAAUAAUAUUAAAUAAUAAAUGUACAUACAUGUUAGUGUGCAAG